GGUUCCGGUAGUCACAACAAUAGAUGGGUGAUGGUUAAAUGGUAGGUCCAGGAAGUCACAACAAUAGAUGGGUGAUGGUUAAAUGGUAGGUCCAGGAAGUCACAACAAUAGAUGGGUGUUGGUUAAAUGGUAGGUCCCGGUAGUCACAACAAUAGAUGGGUGAUGGUUAAAUGGUAGGUUCCGGUAGUCACAACAAUAGAUGGGUGAUGGUUAAAUGGUAGGUCCAGGAAGUCACAACAAUAGAUGGAUGUUGGUUAAAUGGUAGGUCCCGGGAGUCACAACAAUAGAUGGGUGAUGGUUAAAUGGUAGGUCCCGGUAGUCACAACAAUAGAUGGGUGUUGGUUAAAUGGUAGGUCCAGGAAGUCACAACAAUAGAUGGAUGUUGGUUAAAUGGUAGGUCCCGGUAGUCACAACAAUAGAUGGGUGAUGGUUAAAUGGUGAUUUUAAGAAUGGAGGGUAGCAAGGCGGCUAGUUGUUUUCUUCUUCCUGUGAGCGAGGUUUUUAGCAGAGCGGUUGGAAAGGACGUGGAGCGCCGGAGCGUUGCACCGCAAUGAGCGGGAUUUCAGACCCCUCAACACCGCUCUGUAAGCAAUGAGCGGGAUUUCAGACCACUCAACACCGCUCUGUAAGCAAUGAGCGGGAUUUCAGACCACUCAACACCGCUCUGUAAGCAAUGAGCGGGAUUUCAGACCACUCAACACCGCUCUGUAAGCAAUGAGCGGGAUUUCAGACCACUCAACACCGCUCUGUAAGCAAUGAGCGGGAUUUCAGACCACUCAACACCGCUCUGUUAGCAAUGAGCGGGAUUUCAGACCACUCAACACCGCUCUGUAAGCAAUGAGCGGGAUUUCAGACCACUCAACACCGCUCUGUAAGCAAUGAGCGGGAUUUCAGACCACUCAACACCGCUCUGUAAGCAAUGAGCGGGAUUUCAGACC